rnacentral:rRNA from 1 species
CGGGGGGAGCAAGCGUUGUUCGGAUUUACUGGGCGUAAAGGGCGCGUAGGCGGCCACCGCAAGUCGACUGUGAAAUCUCCGGGCUUAACCCGGAAAGGUCAGCCGAUACUGCGGGGCUAGGGUGCAGAAGGGGCAACUGGAAUUCUCGGUGUAGCGGUGAAAUGCGUAGAUAUCGAGAGGAACACCUGCGGCGAAGGCGGGUUGCUGGGCUGACACUGACGCUGAUGCGCGAAAGCUAGGGGAGCGAACGGGAUUAGAUACCCCGGUAGUCCUAGCCUUAAACGAUGAAUGCUUGGUGUCUGGGGUUUUAUAGUCCCCGGGUGCCGUCGCUAACGCUUUAAGCAUUCCGCCUGGGGAGUACGGUCGCAAGACUG